GACGAACGCUGGCGGCGUGCUUAACACAUGCAAGUCGAGCGGUAAGGCCCUUUCGGGGGUACACGAGCGGCGAACGGUGAGUAACACGUGGGUGACCUGCCCUCAGCUCUGGGAUAAGCCUGGGAAACCGGGUCUAAUACUGGAUAUGACUCCAUGACGCAUGUUGUGGGGUGGAAAGCCUUGUGCGGCUGAGGAUGGGCCCGCGGCCUAUCAGCUUGUUGGUGGGGUGANGGCCUACCAAGGCGACGACGGGUAGCCGGCCUGAGAGGGCGACCGGCCACACUGGGACUGAGACACGGCCCAGACUCCUACGGGAGGCAGCAGUGGGGAAUCUUGCGCAAUGGGCGAAAGCCUGACGCAGCGACGCCGCGUGAGGGAUGACGGCC
rnacentral:rRNA from 1 species